CGCUUCAUACAUGCAAGUCGAGGGGCAGCAUAAAGUACUUGUACUUUGAUGGCGACCGGCGAACGGGUGCGUAACGCGUAUGCAACUUACCUUUUACUAGAGAAUAGCCAAGAGAAAUUUUGAUUAAUGCUCUAUACUCUUUUUAACUCACAUGAGUUUUUAAGAAAAGCUCCGGCGGUAAAAGAUGGGCAUGCGUCCUAUUAGCUUGUAGGUGAGGUAACGGCUCACCUAAGCUCCGAUAGGUAGGGGUCCUGAGAGGGAGAUCCCCCACACUGGUACUGAGACACGGACCAGACUUCUACGGAAGGCAGCAGUAAGGAAUAUUGGACAAUGGAGGAAACUCUGAUCCAGCGAUGCCGCGUGAAGGAAGACGGCCCUAUGGGUUGUAAACUUCUUUUAUACAGGAAGAAACCUUUCCACGUGUGGAAAGCUGACGGUACUGUAAGAAUAAGGAUCGGCUAACUCCGUGCCAGCAGCCGCGGUAAUACGGAGGAUCCAAGCGUUAUCCGGAAUUAUUGGGUUUAAAGGGUCCGCAGGCUGUUUGUUAAGUCAGGGGUGAAAUCCUACCGCUCAACGGUAGAACUGCCUUUGAUACUGGCAAACUUGAGUUAUUGUGAAGUAGUUAGAAUGUGUAGUGUAGCGGUGAAAUGCAUAGAUAUUACACAGAAUACCAAUUGCGAAGGCAGAUUACUAACAAUUAACUGACGCUGAGGGACGAAAGCGUGGGUAGCGAACAGGAUUAGAUACCCUGGUAGUCCACGCCGUAAACGAUGGUCACUAGCUGUUCGAUGUACAUUGGUACAUUGAGUGGCUAAGCGAAAGUGAUAAGUGACCCACCUGGGGAGUACGCUCGCAAGAGUGAAAUUCAAAGG
rnacentral:rRNA from 1 species